rnacentral:rRNA from 1 species
CCUACGGGGGGCAGCAGUGGGGAAUAUUGCACAAUGGGCGCAAGCCUGAUGCAGCCAUGCCGCGUGUGUGAAGAAGGCCUUCGGGUUGUAAAGCACUUUCAGCGGGGAGGAAGGCGGUGAGGUUAAUAACCUCAUCGAUUGACGUUACCCGCAGAAGAAGCACCGGCUAACUCCGUGCCAGCAGCCGCGGUAAUACGGAGGGUGCAAGCGUUAAUCGGAAUUACUGGGCGUAAAGCGCACGCAGGCGGUCUGUCAAGUCGGAUGUGAAAUCCCCGGGCUCAACCUGGGAACUGCAUUCGAAACUGGCAGGCUAGAGUCUUGUAGAGGGGGGUAGAAUUCCAGGUGUAGCGGUGAAAUGCGUAGAGAUCUGGAGGAAUACCGGUGGCGAAGGCGGCCCCCUGGACAAAGACUGACGCUCAGGUGCGAAAGCGUGGGGAGCAAACAGGAUUAGAUACCGAGUAGUC